AACGUAGGAGACAAACGUUAUCCGGAGUUACUGGGCGUAAAGGGCGUGUAGGCGGUUUGUUAAGUCUGGCGUGAAAGCUCUCGGCUAAACCGGGAGAGGUCGUUGGAUACUGGCAAACUAGAGGACGGUAGAGGCGUGUGGAAUUCCGGGUAUAGUGGUGAAAUGCGUAGAGAUCCGGAGGAACACCAGUGGCGAAGGCGACACGCUGGGCCGUACCUGACGCUAAAGCGCGACAGCAUGGGGAGCAAACAGG
rnacentral:rRNA from 1 species